GUUACCAAAAUCGGGGCGUUACACUAAGUCACCAAACAAGUCACAUUCUAAACAAAAAAAUCACCCUUAAAGUCCCUACACUUAACCAUUUUCAAGUGACUAAGUUACCAAACAAGUCACAUUCUAAACAAAAAAAUCACCUUUAAAGUCCCUAUACUUAAUCAUUUUCAACCAACUAAGUCAUCAAUCAAAUCACAUUCUAGACAAAAAAAAAUCACCUUUAAAGUCCAUAUACUCGACUAUUUUCAAGUAACUAAGUCACCAAUCAAACCACAUCCAAAACAAAAAAAAUCACCUCUAAAGUCCCUACACUUAACUAUUUUCAAGUAACUAAGUCACCAAUCAAACCACAUCCAAAAUAAAAAAAAUCACCUCUAAAGUCCCUAUACUUAACCAUUUUCAAGUAACUAAGUCACCAAACAAGUCACAUUCUAAAAAAAAAAUCACCUUUAAAUUCCCUGCACUUAACCAUUUUCAAGAAACUAAGUCACCAAUCAAACCACACCCAAAAAAAAAAAAUAAACCACAUCCAAAACAAAAAAAAUCACCUCUAAAGUCCCUACAUUUAACCAUUUUCAAGUAACUAAGUCACCAAACAAGUCACAUUCUAAACAAAAAAAUCACCUUUAAUGUCCUUACACUUGACCAUUUUCAAAUAACUAAGUCACCAAUCAAACCACAUCCAAAACAAAAAAAAAUCAACUUUAAAGUCCCUAAACUUAACCAUUUUCAAGUAACUAAGUCACCAAACAAGUCACGUUCUAAUAAAAAAAAUCACCUUUAAAGUCAAGUUCAAGUUCACAAUACAAAUGAUACAAGUUCAAGUUCAAAAUACAAGAAACAAGCAACAACAAGAUCAACAAGAUUUCAACAACAAUGCUAGUGAAUAGAACAAGGCCACACACGGCUUCACUAGACUUUAAUAUGAACGAUAACAAGAAGAUAACAACAAUGCUAGUGAAUCGAUCAAGGCCACACACGGCUUCACUAGACUUCAAUAUGAAAAAUAACAAUACUUCAUUAUAACAAAUUAGAGGGAAGUCAACUUACCUUAGCUUGGCCUAAAUUAAAGUGAAAGAGAUAAGCGGUC
rnacentral:lncRNA from 1 species